AUACGUAGGGAGCAAGCGUUGUCCGGAAUUACUGGGCGUAAAGGGUGCGUAGGCGGCAUUGCAAGUCAGAUGUGAAAUACCCAGGCUUAACUUGGGGGGUGCAUUUGAAACUGCAGUGCUUGAGUGAAGAAGAGGAAAGCGGAAUUCCUAGUGUAGCGGUGAAAUGCGUAGAUAUUAGGAGGAACACCAGUGGCGAAGGCGGCUUUCUGGUCUUUUACUGACGCUGAGGCACGAAAGCGUGGGGAGCAAACAGGAUUAGGUACCCUGGUAGUCCACGCUGUAAACGAUGGAUACUAGGUGUGGGGGACAUACAACCUCUGUGCCGGAGCAAACGCAUUAAGUAUCCCGCCUGGGGAGUACGGUCGCAAGGCUGAA
rnacentral:rRNA from 1 species